UAAAUUUCCUUUAUUUCAUCAUAAAAAAAAGAAAAAAAAAGUUAAUUUCUAGUGAUUUAGUAAACAUAAAAACAAACAAAUAAGUUAACAAUUUUCAAAGAACAAAUUAUUUUAAGAAUAUUAAUUAGAAAAACUUUAAGGUAUAAAAUUUAACAGAAUUAUAUGUAUGAUAAGAGUAAAAAAAAUAUUUAUAUACGAAAAAGUUUAAAAAAUAUUAUAACCAAUUGAUAAAAUGUCCAGGUGUUUCAUUUCCUGUAAAACGUGUAUUGUGCAUGCGCAUUGAACACUUCCUGUGACAGGUAUAUUUUUUGUAACAGGUACUUGCUGACAUCAGUAUGGUUUGGUCAUCGUGACGUGUCGGGAAUUUCAAAUCGUUGAUAUAUGAACAACAAGACAACUGUCAUAAAAUGCAUAGGAUAAGAAUUCCAAUGAAAGAUGUUCUCUAGUGUACUUCGUUGUGUCCCGCUGUCCAAAAUCGUCGCUUCGACAUCGCUGGUCUUAGGCGCCAAAUCAACCGUUGUCGUAUAACGGAGGAAGAACUCACGGAUGUUACAUACUUUUAAUAUACAAAUACAAACACACAAGUGAACGAGUGGAAUACCAAAGCUGAACUCCCCGGACUGAAUAUCUAGCCCAAAAUAUAUAGUGACAGUUUACACAUAAAAUGUUAUGAAAUCUAGCCGACUUACAAAUACGUUAUCUAUCAUUUUGACAUAAACUCAGUUUGUAUGUAUCUUGCACUAUAAUACACAUAAAUCAUGUCAUGUUCCAGAGUUCACAUUAUGAAAUAAAAACCCUAAUAUAUGUA